GCUAGAUUAGAACCUCUGCUUCUGCCUUCAGAGUGGUCCUGGGUGUUACUUGAUCAGCAUCAAACUUCUCCUCUGGACUUGUAAUGAUAGUAACUGGCAUUCAUUGAUUGCUAAUCAGUUUCUUACAGGUGCAGGGAUGCAUUUGAGCCAGAACUCUGAGUGAUCCCUGUGCUUCUGUAGCUGGUCCCUCUGUCUGCGAGCUGGGUCAUGCCGAAUGCCAGCCAUGGUCUCACACAUCUGUCUCCUCACUAGACAGCAAGUGCUGCUACAAGCAGGAAGGCCAUUACUGGAGAUCCCUGACUCCUGCCCAGCAUAUGAUGGAGGCCUGAGAAAAAAAUACACUAAGAGACAGAACUAAGAGAGAGACAGCAAGGUGCCAGGACAACCAAUGCCAGUGGAACCAUCAAAG
rnacentral:lncRNA from 1 species